rnacentral:rRNA from 1 species
UACGUAGGGGGCUAGCGUUGUCCGGAAUCAUUGGGCGUAAAGCGCGCGUAGGCGGCCAGAUAAGUCCGGUGUGAAAGUCACAGGCUCAACCUGUGAAUGCCGCUGGAAACUGUCUGGCUUGAGUCCGGAAGGGGCGAGUGGAAUUCCUGGUGUAGCGGUGAAAUGCGCAGAUAUCAGGAGGAACACCAAUGGCGAAGGCAGCUCGCUGGACCGACACUGACGCUGAGGCGCGAAAGCGUGGGGAGCAAACAGG